UUUUGCUGGAGAUCCCUGUGUACCUGAGGCCUUCUGAAGCUUCCUGCUCCGGAUGGUGACUUCAAAGCCGGCGUCAGCACUCGCUCCAGCAGCCAGGGCAGCGAUAGCCUGCAUGCAGGCUGGAGGGCACCGGGGACAUCCAUCCUGCAGGUGGUGAAUGUGUUCAUGCAGAGAGGAGAAAAAUCCUCAGUCCUGAGCCUCUCCCUUGGCACAGAAAGCACUCUCUGAGCUCUCUUCCACCGCAGGAGCCAAAUUUCUGGGACCUCAGGGGACAGUCCUGGAGCUCUUUCAGGGUUAGGUUCACCUGGGGAUUUCUACAGUUGAAUUUUGGAGGGAAUUUCAGCAUAGCUUUAAAUAAGCGCUCUGCCACCAGUGCAUCUCAGCUGGGACCCAUGGCACUGGCUUCCCACCCAUCCCCAGCCUGCAGGCAGCUUGCACAGCCUUCCCUGCUCUCCCAGCCUUCAGCUUCUGAACAUCUUUUCAAGCAGAGCUCCAUCCAGAGCUACAUUAACACCCAGUCACCUGCAUCUGAAAGCAAACACAAGGUGGAUUCUAGACUUGUGGUGUGUGCGGGUGAGGAAGCUGUCUCCUUGGGAUGCAAAUGCUGUUCUCUUUCAAUUGAAAGAAAUGGUAUGGAUUUAAUGCAUCUUUCUAAGUUCCCUCCAUCCUACUGAGGGAACACUCCUGAAUUUGUUAUCUGGGUUGUCUGCAGACCCGGAUCUGCUAUUCUUCAUCAAUAAUGUGUUGGUUUCUCUCUGGAAUGUCCUACCUCUGCUGUCAGUGGAUGUUUCACAUGGUUAUCAGAGUUAAAGCCACAGCUCAAGCAUGCCUAACCAUCUGCCACAUAGCUUAUUGAUUUGGAAUAAGAAAUGAAGGAGCCUUACGUUCUUGUUACCACUGUGCCCGUUACUGUUUUCUUACUCGUGUCUAUGUAUACAGUCACUGCUAAAGCUUGAAGGAUUUAACUGGAAGCAAGCAUACUUCAUCUGGGAAUGGGACAAAGCACUUCAGAGAUCUGAGCCUUGCUUCAGUCACUUUUGGACCUGUCCCCAACAAAUGUUUCUCCUGAUAAGGACACAGCAUUGUUAGCUUUGGAUCCUUCACCUAAGGGAGAAGAGAUGAGCAUGGAGCUACUGCUGCAAAUUAUAAAUCAUGGAUUUCCCAAAGGUCUAUUGGCAGUUGGGCUUCCUGAACGGUUUGAGACAUUGCUGACAGCUCCCAUUUGUGCAGUGGUUCAACAAAGGGUGGUUGCUUUUUCUGCUCUGGGAAAGUAAGUGAAGAAGAGGAUCCAGCAGCAACUGCAUGACUGGAUUGCCCAUAGCUCACCCUUCCUCAGCUCUGAAUGCCUCUCUCGAGUCCCAGGUCUGCAGGCUCCUCACCCUGCAAAUUGCAAACAGGUUUCCAAUCACUAUGCUGGUGGUUAGGAGGAAAAUAGGAUGCCUGCAGUUGUCUGAGGUCUCACUCAUACAUUAAAGUGAGUUUUGAAGUUCUGCCAAGUCAGAAGGAUUAGGAAGGUAUUCUUUUUUUAAAUCUGUUUUUCAUAGAUUGUUUUUAUUUGUUGUUUGGCAUAGCAGCACUGUAGAUCUUUCAAGGAUUGAAUUGAGUGGGUCAGUGUCCUUUGUAAAAACGCUGUCAUGAGCUGGGACUAGGGUCUGGUACAGCAAGGAAAGAAGAGGGAUAAUGGAAAGAGACAAGGAGAUGUGGCAGCUGUUCUUUCUUGUGCUGAAGGCUCUUCAGCAUUGAGUUGGCCUGGAUCAGGAAGAGAUGAAGGUGGGUGCUGCUGGUGGAGGCUGCUCACUACCCAUGUCCCUCAGUGCCACAUCUCCACGGUUCUUGACCACCUCUUUGAGCAUCCGGUGCCAAUGCAUCACCACUCUUUCUGAGAAGAAAUUCUUCCUAAUCUGCAGCCUGAACCUCCCCGGUGCAACUUAAAGCCGUUCCCUCUAAUCCUAUCAAGUGCUUCUCUCUGCUUCAGUGCCUGAAGGUGUCCUCAGAGAACAUUCUUCCUCCUGAGAUGUGAUUUUGUGAUUUUUUUUUUUUCUUGGGUUGAAGGCCAGUUAGGAGAACAACAAAGUGACAUCUGGGAAUACACGGCAAACUCUUGUACUGAAUGGACGUUCCAUUGAUGCUAUAGGAGAUCAUACUCAGCAUAGUGCCUGUUACCAUAUCGCCUAGAUUUUGAACAUUCAAAGCUGGUCUGGAUACGGUUUGAACGUGCAGAAAACCUCAGGAUUCGUACAACACACUUGGCCAGGACACUGGGCAGCGUCAGCCUCAUCCCAGGACUCUGCUGCAAGCUUCCCAGCCUUGUGCAGAAUGUCUGAAGAUUCUUUCAAGUUUGUACAUGCUGACGUAAACAGAGCCCCUCGCUGCGGAAAUAAAACUGAAGGGAAUUUCUGGCACCGUUCAGAAUGAUGCAUAGUUUUGUGGUGACCUCUCCAUAGCAAGCACAAAGUUCUGUCUCUGCUUGGCACCAAGUGAAAUGUUUGGCAUGACUUGAAACACCCUGAGGACCAAAGUCACCUCUUAAGGUCUUUGUCCCCACUGAUCCCUGCGGAAGCAGCAAAAAAGCAUCAUUGCUCUUUUUUUAAUCCAAGAGAAGCUGAACUAUGGAAAGGUUAACUGAGUUUCUCAGGGACACAUAGGAAAUCAAUAGAAGAACAGAGCCUCCAAGCCGUAUUUUCUAAUUGUCCUGUGCACGCCCUUACAGAAACCUUAAAGAAGGUUUCAUCUUAUGAUUCUAUGAUCCUAUUGCCGAGCAGGUGCUGGGCUGCCCCAACUGCAUGGCUGAGCAUCCGUGGCUGCUGGACAGCUCCAGCCCCACCUCGCACCCUCAGCUCUCCCACCUGCAGGCUGCCCCGUGGUUUCAUCUCGUUUCCUGGAGUGCAGAAAUAAAGAAAGCUCUGGAGUUCCGCAGCAGUCUGACAGCAGUUGACCUUUAUAUGAUAAGCAAUGUUCCUCAGCAGCGCGCAUCGGCUUGCAUCAGUUUACAUUUAUUUUGCUUGUGACUUGUAAGCAUCCAAAGUGAAACCGAUUGGAUGGGACAGGCGGAAUCUCAGCAUCUUGAAGUAAUCUGUAAGGAGCCAGCAGCAGAGUCGUUAGACAGCAGUUUCUACAAACAGCUUUGGGGAAUUUGUCUGUGCUAAAGACUGUUCUCAUGUCGGAGGAUUGAGGAAAGGCUUGGCCAGUAGGAUUUUGUUUGUCUUGGAAGAUCUCCGGGGAAUCACAGGGUGAGCUGGAAGAGACUGGUAGAAAUGGCCCCAUCCAAGCUUCUAUGUGAGCCACUGGGAAGCUGCUGCCCUUCCAGCAUCCCUCUAUCUCUUCUGACUAACCCACUGCUAGAUAGUGAAGUCAUGGACCCCUCCUCUCUACAUUUAUCAAAGUACAUAACAUGUUUCUUCCUGUAAAAAUGAUGAAAUGCCACCAAAAUCAGGGCAUGAUUUAGGGACAGAAAUGCAACUUGAAAGCUUCAGCAAUGUGCUCUGCACACUGCUUACUGAGACAUGGGAUACUAAAUAGUCUUUUAGAAGUCCUUACAGGUGAAUUAGCCAUGUCGCUGACCUAUGUGUGCUUAGUGCGCUGCAGGCACCUUGAGCAGAGGCAGUGCCCAUGCUGAUGGGAAACCUCCACAUGUGGCACUUGGGGCUGUUCUGAUGAGACCAGUACAUGCACAGGACAUGCUCAGCCUCCCACAGGUCAAGGAGGUCAGACACAUGAAUCAGACCUGGUCUGGAAGCAUGAAGCAUAGAGGAGGGGCUUGCCAAAAUCUGGAAAGCUUUGGGAUGUGGGGGCUUGGAAUGUCCUUACCCCCACCCUGUGUGUGUGACCUGUUCCUUCAGGCAGUUCCUUUCGGCAUGAUCUCUUCUACGGAGCUUUCCCAAGAGGACCCAAUGCACACAGAAGCACGUUUGCACAUACAGAAAGGAGGGACAAGGCUCCAGCCUUGACUCGUGCCCAGGUGGCUCCCAGUAGUGCUGCACUGGGGACAUCUGCCCCCCCCAAACAGACAGUGAGGCACUUGUGUGGCACUGAGCCUUGGCCCAGCUUUAUCGGUUCCUUCACUGUGAUGACUCAAAGGAAAUACCAGCCACCUUUGAGGCUGCAGUGAAGUUCUGUCAGCUCGGCCCUGCUCCAGUCCCAGCAGAAAAAGAGCAGCAUCUCUCCUCUGAACCCAGGGCAACGCGCUCUUCUAGGCAUUAGCCGCUGCAUUUAUUUUCAUUUGCUGUUGUCAGAGCAGGACAGCAGGAUUUGGCCUUUUGGCAGAGAUGCUGGCUGUGUUUUAUGAGACUGCAGCCUCCCAACCUCAGGAAUCUGUCAUGCGGUGAUUUGGUUCCAUGGGGAAGACUCGGAUGAGUCAAUUCAUCAUCGCAGCCCCCUGGCUUAUCACCACACAGCCCAGGUGGGAGAACUGGAUCAGGAGAACUGUUCUGAGUGUAUUGCUUAAGAGGAUUGUCACUGUGGGAUUAGGGCUAGAACACUCCAUUGCCACGUUACCUCUUGUCUGAGGCAACAGUGAACAAUGUACUCUGGAAGGGUCAGUAAGACAUUCCUUCACGUUUUACAUGUGGAUAUGGGUGUAGAUACUGGAGAUCCAAUAAUGCAGUGAUGAAGCAGAAAAAUGUUGUUGUUUUUUUUUUUUAAUAUGGGUUGGGCAGUAUUGAGUGGGUUUUGGUACUAAAAGGAGAAAAAGCAGAAAGAUCAUUUAAAAAAAAAAGGUUGGCAAGUUUUUUCUGUUUGCUUAGAUCUUAAUUAGAAUUUAGUAAUUUAAAUCAGAAUAUAAUGUGUUUGUCUUGGUAUUAAAUGAUGCCAGUGGCAUGUCAGCAUAGCAAUGCCAUCAACUACUACUACAAUAAGUAGUUUUUCACUCAGGUUUGUAGUCAUGACCAUAGCACCUGGGUAUCUAACCAAGAAAUGUGCAUAUUCACACCCUACCUGAGACAAAACCUGGAGAUUCUGAUGAUUUCCUGGGUGUUUUCCUGCAUCAGCCACUAUCCACAACAUAAGCAUUAUCAGCAUUGCAGCACACCUGUAAACUGGGGCUCAAGCAGUCCUGCUGCUCUCCCCACACUCUGUAGCUCCACUUGCCCAGCCUGUGAGUCUUCCCAUCUCUCCAUCCAUCCCCUUCUGUCUGACAUCAGUUCCCUCCUUGUGGUUUUGCCCACUGCCAGCACAAUUUACAUUGAUCUUGACAGAUUGUCUGUCCAUCCCUUUGAAUUUCUGCGUGUGUUCUGACUUUGAAACAAUUCUGCACGUAAGCACUUGGCCACCAGCGAGCUGAUGAGACUGAACUGCUGUGAACCCAAACGCAUAUGAAGCAGCUCUGGAAAAGGGCAAACCAGUUUUUACCACGCAAAGCAGGAUGUAGCACUUUGGAGAGCUUCAAGCAAUAAAGCCGUCAUCUCUCCUGCCCUGCUCCCACAGCACAGAGCUCGCUUU